rnacentral:rRNA from 1 species
GUACACGCUGUGACUAGCAUAUCAAUAAGCGGAGGAAAAGAAACUAACAAGGAUUCCCCUAGUAACGGCGAGUGAAGCGGGAAGAGCUCAAAUUUGAAAUCUUAAAGGGUUUCCCUUUACGAAUUGUAGUUUAAAGAAGUGUUUUCUGUUGAGGUUUUGGUAAAAGUUCUUUGGAAUAGGACAUCAUAGAGGGUGAGAAUCCCGUAUUUGACCUUUACUUUCAACUUUGUGAUACACUUUCAAAGAGUCGGAUUGUUUGGGAAUGCAGUCCAAAAUGGGUGGUAAAUUUCAUCUAAAGCUAAAUAUUGGCGAGAGACCGAUAGCGAACAAGUACCGUGAGGGAAAGAUGAAAAGAACUUUGAAAAGAGAGUUAAACAGUACGUGAAAUUGUCAAAAGGGAAGCGUUUGACACCAGUGUUGUUUUUCUGAAAAUCAAUUAAAGAACUGUUUAUGCUAAGUUGUUUAGACUUUAUCAGCUAACUGUUUAGUUUUGAGCUUUUCUUUAAUGCACUUUUCAGUUAACAAGUCAACAUCAAUUUCUUUUGCUGUAAAAAAGCUUGAGGAAGGUGGCUUGAGAUUCGUCUUAAGUGUUUAUAGCCUCUUGCCUACUGCAGUCGGAGAGAUUGAGGUCUGCAGCGUAGAUCCUUCGGGGCUAAAUGCAUUUGUGCUAAGUUAUAGCAUUUUAUAGACAACUUGUUGACUAUGAUUUGUCUUGUAGCUUACUCGCUUAUGUUAUUUUACCUACGCUUAGGAUGUUGAAGUCAUCGUAUCGCGC